GACGACGCUGGCGGCGUGCCUAACACAUGCAAGUCGAGCGGAGUCGAUCGACGGAAGCCUUCGGGCGGAAGAUGGUUGACUUAGCGGCGGAUGGGUGAGUAACGCGUGGGCAACCUGCCUCGAAGACCGGGAUAACAGCCCGAAAGGGCUGCUAAUACCGGAUGUGGUCAAGGAUCCGCAUGGAUUUUUGAUUAAAGGGGAAACCCGUUUCGAGAUGGGCCCGCGUCCUAUCAGCUAGUUGGUGAGGUAAAAAGCUCACCAAGGCGACGACGGGUAGCCGGCCUGAGAGGGGUGACCGGCCACACUGGAACUGAGACACGGUCCAGACUCCUACGGGGGGGCAGCAGUGGGGAAUCUUCCACAAUGGGCGAAAGCCUGAUGGAGCGACGCCGCGUGAGCGAAGAAGGCCUUCGGGUUGUAAAGCUCUGUCUGGAGGGACGAAGGAAGUGACGGUACCUCCGGAGGAAGCCACGGCUAACUACGUG
rnacentral:rRNA from 1 species